rnacentral:tRNA from 1 species
UAGGUGGAUGCCCUCUGGUUUAGGCGUUUAGCUGUUAACUAAAAGUUUGCAGGAUCGAGGCCUGCCCAUCUAG